rnacentral:ncRNA from 1 species
CCCUUGGAGUGUUACACCAAAUGAAAGUAGUCCUUGGACAAAAUCAGACACGAUGAAUAGGGAA